AAAGAUAGUCAAAGACAAGCACCAAGAGAGUCUCGAUCUUCAAUCAAUUCACAAAAGAGGAAAUCACUCAUGAAAAUAUUCUUCUAAUUCAUGUCCAAUAGACUACUGUCACCAUGGUCUCGGGGAUUAUACUAGAUAAGAUCAAGUAAGUACAUCAAUCCAAUACAUAGAAGAAGGGGAAACAUCAUGGGAUCACCCUAGAUUAACAUAGCCUAUGAUCACAAUCAAUAUAAAAUCAUGGGAGAGAGAGAUGACCACAUAGCUACACACAAAAGACCUCAACCCCGAGGAAGACUAGUCACACAUGGCCAUUAUGAGCAAGAGGUUGAUGGAGAGGUGCAGCACGGAGAGGAGACGGCGGCCACGGGGACGGCGGCCGACGGCGGCCACGGGGACGGCCACAACCCUUGGGGGCAGAGGCCCUUGCCCCCCCUUCUUCCUUGGAUAUGGUGCUGGUAUGGAGGUGGUUCUCCACCCCAAGGCAACUGCCUCGGAGGAGGAAAUCUCGUAGCUCUUGG
rnacentral:lncRNA from 1 species